UACGGGGGGGGCAAGCGUUGUUCGGAAUUACUGGGCUUAAAGGGCGCGUAGGCGGGCUGUCAAGUCUGGGGUGAAAUCCCGCGGCUCAACCGUGGAACUGCCUCAGAUACUGACGGUCUCGAGGGAGGUAGGGGCGAGCGGAACUGAUGGUGGAGCGGUGAAAUGCGUUGAUAUCAUCAGGAACUCCGGUGGCGAAGGCGGCUCGCUGGACCUUUUCUGACGCUGAGGCGCGAAAGCUAGGGGAGCAAACGGG
rnacentral:rRNA from 1 species